rnacentral:rRNA from 1 species
GACGAACGCUGGCGGCGCGCUUAACACAUGCAAGUCGAACGAUGAAGGAGAGCUUGCUCUCCGGAUUAGUGGCGAACGGGUGAGUAACACGUGACUAACCUGCCCCUUUCUCUGGGAUAACGCUCCGAAAGGAGUGCUAAUACCGGAUACGAACUCUGAACACAUGUUCGGAGUUGGAAAGUUUUUCGGAAAGGGAUGGAGUCGCGGCCUAUCAGCUUGUUGGUGAGGUAACGGCUCACCAAGGCGACGACGGGUAGCCGGCCUGAGAGGGCGACCGGCCACACUGGGACUGAGACACGGCCCAGACUCCUACGGGAGGCAGCAGUGGGGAAUAUUGCACAAUGGGCGAAAGCCUGAUGCAGCGACGCCGCGUGAGGGAUGAAGGUCUUCGGAUUGUAAACCUCUUUCAGUAGGGACGAAGCGAAAGUGACGGUACCUAAAGAAGAAGCACCGGCUAACUGCGUGCCAGCCGCCGCGGUAA